CGCGUAGGCGGUCUUUUAAGUCAGGUGUGAAAGCCCGGGGCUCAACCCCGGAAGUGCACUUGAAACUAAGAGACUUGAGUAUGGGAGGGGGAAGUGGAAUUCCUGGUGUAGCGGUGAAAUGCGUAGAUAUCAGGAGGAACAUCAGUGGCGAAGGCGACUUCCUGGACCAAUACUGACGCUGAGGCGCGAAGGCGUGGGGAGCAAACA
rnacentral:rRNA from 1 species